AGCGAACGCUGGCGGCAGGCCUAACACAUGCAAGUCGAGCGCCCCGCAAGGGGAGCGGCAGACGGGAGAGUAACACGUGGGAACGUACCCUUUGGUUCGGAACAACCCAGGGAAACUUGGGCUAAUACCGGAUCAGCCCUUACGGGGAAAGAUUCAUCGCCGAAGGAUCGGCCCGCGUCUGAUUAGCGAGUUGGUGGGGUACCGGCCCACCAAGGCGACGAUCAGUAGCUGGUCUGAGAGGAUGAUCAGCCUCACUGGGACUGAGACCCGGCCGAGACUCCUACGGGAGGCAGCAGUGGGGAAUAUUGGACAAUGGGCGCAAGCCUGAUCCAGCCAUGCCGAGUGGGUGAUGAAGGCCCUAGGGUUGUAGAGCCCUUUCGGCGGGGAAGAUAAUGACGGUACCCGCAGAAGAAGCCCCGGCUAACUUCGUGCCAGCAGCCGCCGUAA
rnacentral:rRNA from 1 species